rnacentral:miRNA from 1 species
UGCAGGCAGUCCUAUGGGUGUC